rnacentral:tRNA from 1 species
AAAGAAUUAGUUAAAUAUAACAUUAGUAUGUCAUGCUAAAAUUAUUAGUACAUAAUCUAGUAUUCUUUA